UGGCGGCCAAUGGCCCAGCAGUCAAGAUGGGUGAGCAGAGCAGGCAAAGGUGUUGUAGUGAGGUACUGUUGUGGUGGGGUGUGGUUUUGGCAUCACCUCAAGGUGUGGUUGUCUCAGGUUUUGCAGGAAGUUGUGAAGAGGAGAAGUAGAGUGCUGAGAAGAGCCCGAGCAGGUAUGGUGUGGGCCUUUCCCAAGCGUGGCUGAGGAUUUCAGGUGCCAUGGGCUUCCCCCCAGCCAGGAUGCUGGUGUUUGGAAUUGGCGCAGUUCAGGUGAAGGCAAAUGUGGCAAGCAAAGGAAGAUCGGAG